rnacentral:misc_RNA from 1 species
UUGAAUACGCUUGAGUGCUGAUGCUGGCCUUUCGAGGCAUGUGCUCGCAUUCGAACUAUUUAUCUUCUCUUGUGCACCUUUUGUAGUCUUUGAAUGUCGCCUUCGGGUUUUUUUUGGAGAGGCUUCGCGCUUCUCUGGGCUUCAAAGACUAUGUCUUCAUAUACGUUAAACAGUUUAGAAUGUCUUUUUAACGGCGUAACAGCCAUUAAACCUUAAUA